rnacentral:lncRNA from 1 species
GACUCUUCUUUAUAUUUUCUGGGCCUGGCUGUUCAAGCUGCUGUUUGUGGGGGGCUCAGUAUAUGAUUAGAGUGGACAUUUCCUCUCUUGGAGAACUUUGAUGGAGUCCUCAGAGGUCGUCUAACUCUGGACCCUCUUCUCCUAUAACUAGAGAGAGGGGUAGACCAUCCCCUGAUAAAGUGAAGGCCGGUGAAACUGGCAAGCAUGUUUCAUCCCUGUACUAAAGAGCUAUGGAUUCCUCUGUGACUCUUCUAAUAGACAGCCUUUGUGCAAGUUUUUCUUCCCCCCUUGGAAGAUGAAUUGCAUUUUAUCAGUUAUCUCAGAGAAGCACUUUGAAAUGAAGUAAGGAAAUAAACAUGGCUCUACAUUUUUAAACAGAUGAUUUGUUACCAGACUAUGACCAUAAUGGAAAAAAAGCCAACUCCCUUGAGGUUUCUGAUGCCAAGGCAUGACUGCACAUUGAAUGUCAUCAGAGUUCUCCUGGCUGGGUCAUCACCUGCAUGGCCUGCGGUGGAGCCAGGGGCCAAAACACAACAAGGGAAACUAAAGUCUCCUGUGACAAAUUAAUUGGAGGAGAGGAUAGGAGAAAAACAAGCAUCCCACUCCUUCUCUUUACUCAAGUGGUCUGCGAAGUCGAGUCGUGGAAGGGAGAAUAAAACUCCAUUUUGUAAUGCUUUUUAAAGACGUGGCCAUAGCCAAGAUGCAGGACUUUUAAAGAUACAAUAAUCCUAGAAUUUUCUAGAACUUUUAAUCAUAAGCCUCAAAAAGUAUUCAAUCACUUGAUGGUGGCACCCACAAACCCCACAUGCUGUUGUCUGGCAUAGUCAGUGCUCUUUGAAGAAUACACUCACAAUUCUCAUUGUUUUAUUGUACCCGUUAUUCCUGGCUGGUCUCAGUUUUUAUGAAGCCCAGAAGGAAAACCUGUCCUAAACCAUCAACAGUUGCAAAGUUUAAAAUGUAGAUUCUGAUAAAUGCUGUUUUUAUAUGCGGUCUUCUCUCCUGCUGCCCAUCGGGGAUUGAUUUGUCCCCCUUUCCCCCCUGAUUUUAGAAAGUAUUUGCUUUGGAAAGUGGUUAUAUGACUUAUUGUCCAAGUAAAAAAUAAUUUAUCUUUA